rnacentral:ncRNA from 1 species
UGAAAUGCGUGGAAGAAGAGGAGUACACAAAGAAACGCCAGCAGAGAGGAUUUUCACCGGCUGAAAGAAAUCCGGCAAGUGGUUUGUGGAAGGUAGCUUCGGAGCAUGAUCUUUGAAGCAGAUAUUGUGUGUAGAAGAUCACGGUUCGCCCCGUUAUCGGCAGAAUGAGGAAUAAAACGCAGGAAAGAGGAAACCUGCAUUUAUUUGAAAUAAGGUGGUACCGCGGCCUUGCCGCCCUUAUA